rnacentral:rRNA from 1 species
UUCGCCCUUAGAGUUUGAUCCUGGCUCAGGACGAACGCUGGCGGCGUGCUUAACACAUGCAAGUCGAGCGGACGGAUUUCCUUCGGGGAAGAAGUUAGCGGCGGACGGGUGAGUAACGCGUGAACAAUCUGUCCCAGACAGGGGGAUAACAAUCUGAAAAGGUUGCUAAUACCGCAUAAGACCACAGCUUCGCAUGGAGCAGGGGUAAAAGAGUUAUCGGUUUGGGGUGAGUUCGCGUCUGAUUAGCUAGUUGGUGAGGUAACGGCCCACCAAGGCGACGAUCAGUAGCCGAUCUGAGAGGAUGACCGGCCACAUUGGAACUGAGACACGGUCCAAACUCCUACGGGAGGCAGCAGUGGGGAAUAUUGGGCAAUGGGCGAAAGCCUGACCCAGCAACGCCGCGUGAGGGAAGAAGGUUUUCGGAUUGUAAACCUCUGUCCUAAGGGAAGAAGGAAGUGACGGUACCUUAGGAGGAAGCCCCGGCUAACUACGUGCCAGCAGCCGCGGUAAUACGUAGGGGGCGAGCGUUGUCCGGAAUGACUGGGCGUAAAGGGCGUGUAGGCGGCCUGUUAAGUUAGAAGUGAAAGUCCUGCUUUCAAGGUGGGAAUUGCUUUUAAUACUGAUGGGCUUGAGUGCAGAAGAGGUAAGUGGAAUUCCCAGUGUAGCGGUGAAAUGCGUAGAGAUUGGGAGGAACACCAGUGGCGAAGGCGACUUACUGGGCUGUAACUGACGCUGAGGCGCGAAAGCGUGGGGAGCGAACAGGAUUAGAUACCCUGGUAGUCCACGCGGUAAACGAUGAAUGCUAGGUGUAGGGGGUAUCGACCCCUCCUGUGCCGGAGUAAACACAAUAAGCAUUCCGCCUGGGGAGUACGGCCGCAAGGCUGAAACUCAAAGGAAUUGACGGGGGCCCGCACAAGCAGUGGAUUAUGUGGUUUAAUUCGACGCAACGCGAAGAACCUUACCAGGACUUGACAUCCAACUAACGAAGUAGAGAUACAUUAGGUGCCCUUCGGGGAAAGUUGAGACAGGUGGUGCAUGGUUGUCGUCAGCUCGUGUCGUGAGAUGUUGGGUUGAGUCCCGCAACGAGCGCAACCCCUAUUGUUAGUUGCUACGCAAGAGCACUCUAGCGAGACUGCCGUUGACAAAACGGAGGAAGGCGGGGACGACGUCAAAUCAUCAUGCCCCUUAUGUCCUGGGCUACACACGUAAUACAAUGGCCGUCAACAAAGGGAAGCAAAACCGCGAGGUAGAGCAAAUCCCCAAAAACGGUCUCAGUUCGGAUUGCAGGCUGCAACUCGCCUGCAUGAAGCUGGAAUUGCUAGUAAUCGCGGAUCAGCAUGCCGCGGUGAAUACGUUCCCGGGCCUUGCACUCACCGCCCGUCA